AUUGAACGCUGGUGGCAGGCCUAACACAUGCAAGUCGAGCGGCAGCGGGAAAGUAGCUUGCUACUUUUGCCGGCGAGCGGCGGACGGGUGAGUAAUGCCUGGGAAAUUGCCCAGUCGAGGGGGAUAACAGUUGGAAACGACUGCUAAUACCGCAUACGCCCUACGGGGGAAAGCAGGGGACCUUCGGGCCUUGCGCGAUUGGAUAUGCCCAGGUGGGAUUAGCUAGUUGGUGAGGUAAUGACUCACCAAGGCGACGAUCCCUAGCUGGUCUGAGAGGAUGAUCAGCCACACUGGAACUGAGACACGGUCCAGACUCCUACGGGAGGCAGCAGUGGGGAAUAUUGCACAAUGGGGGAAACCCUGAUGCAGCCAUGCCGCGUGUGUGAAGAAGGCCUUCGGGUUGUAAAGCACUUUCAGCGAGGAGGAAAGGUUGAUGCCUAAUACGUAUCAACUGUGACGUUACUCGCAGAAGAAGCACCGGCUAACUCCGUGCCAGCCGCCGCCGUAA
rnacentral:rRNA from 1 species